UUGCUUCAGCAGCACAUAUACUAAAACUGGAGUGAUACAGAGAAAAUGAGCAUGGCCUCUGUGCAAAGAUGACAUACAUACAAAUUCAUGAAGCGUCCCAUAUUUUU